rnacentral:tRNA from 2 species
GGACCGGUGGCAAGGGUGGUCGAUAGCGCGCUUUUCAACCCGAUCCCUAACGGGCGUCGUGGGUUCGAAUCCCACCCGGUUCUCCA